rnacentral:tRNA from 1 species
GGCUCGGUAGCUUAGUUGGUAAAGCGCUCGUCUAGCAUACAAGAGUCCUGGGUUCAAUUCCCUGCCGAGCAC